rnacentral:tRNA from 1 species
ACUAUUUUGGCAGAAAAGUGUAAUGAUUUUAGAAGUCAUCAAUGUAUAAUUGUUUAUAUAUAUAGUA